rnacentral:rRNA from 1 species
UGAAUGUAUAGGGGUGUGGGAGGUAACGCGGGGAAGUGAAACAUCUUAGUACCCGUAGGAAGAGAAAACAAUUGUGAUUCCGUGAGUAGUGGCGAGCGAAAGCGGAGGAGGCUAAACCGUGUGUGUGUUCAAGCCGGCAGGUGUUGCAUGUGCGGGGUUGUGGGGGCCUUGUGGUUCUGCUGCCGCAGGAUUGGCCAGUGAGAAAUGUUGCGUGAAGGUGAAGCGUCUGGGAAGGCGUACCGGAGUGGGUGAGAGUCCUGUAACUGUAAGCGUGGCACUGGUGUGGGGUUGCCCCGAGUAGCGUGGGACUCGUGGAAUUUCGCGUGAAUCUGGCGGGACCACCCGUCAAGCCUAAAUACUCCUUGGUGACCGAUAGUGGAUGAGUACCGUGAGGGAAGGGUGAAAAGUACCCCGGGAGGGGAGUGAAAGAGUUCCUGAAACCGGUCGCAUGCAAGCCGUCAGAGCCUGUGUGGUGAUGGCGUGCCUUUUGAAGAAUGAGCCUGCGAGUUAGUGAUGCGUGGCGAGGUUAACCCGUGGUGGGGGAGUCGUAGCGAAAGCGAGUCCGAUAAGGGCGUGAGUCGCGUGUUCUAGACCCGAAGCGGUGUGAUCUAUCCAUGGCCAGGAUGAAGCGUCGGUAAGACGUCGUGGAGGUCCGAACCCACUUCAGUUGAAAAUGGAGGGGAUGAGCUGUGGGUAGGGGUGAAAGGCCAAUCAAACUGAGAGAUAGCUCGUUCUCCCCGAAAUGUUUUUAGGAACAGCCUCGGAUUAUAGAAGUUUACCAGAGGUAGAGCUACUGAUUGGGCUAGGGGGCUUCACCGCCUACCAAACCCUGACAAACUCCGAAUGCUGGUAAAUAUCUCCGGGAGUGAGGCUGUGGGCGCUAAGGUCCAUGGCCGAGAGGGAAAUAACCCAGAUUAACAGCUAAGGUCCCUAAUAGAUAGUUAAGUUGAACAAACGAAGUUUGAACCCUAUAACAGCCAGGAUGUUGGCUUGGAAGCAGCCAU